rnacentral:ncRNA from 1 species
GGUCAAGCAAUGAAGCGCACACGGUGGAUGCCUAGGCAGCCAGAGGCGAUGAAAGACGUGGUAGCCUGCGAUAAGGUUCGGUGAGGUGGCAAACGACCUGUGACCCGGACAUCUCUGAAUGGGGAAACCCACUCAUCACAAGAUGAGUAUCUUGCGCUGAAUCCAUAGGCGUAAGAGGCGAACCAGGGGAACUGAAACAUCUAAGUACCCUGAGGAAAAGAAAUCAACCGAGAUUCCCCUAGUAGCGGCGAGCGAACGGGGACCAGCCCUUAAGCAUGUGACUGAUUAGGCGA